AGGGAUGUAGUUAACCAUAACAUUUGAAUUGCAAUCAAAAAGUACUUAUUUAGUCCUCCUUA
rnacentral:tRNA from 1 species